rnacentral:rRNA from 1 species
UACGGGGGGAGCAAGCGUUGUUCGGAUUUACUGGGCGUAAAGGGCGCGUAGGCGGCGUAACAAGUCACUUGUGAAAUCUCCGGGCUUAACCCGGAGCGGCCAAGUGAUACUGUUGUGCUAGAGUGCGGAAGGGGCUACUGGAAUUCUCGGUGUAGCGGUGAAAUGCGUAGAUAUCGAGAGGAACACCCGCGGCGAAGGCGGGUAGCUGGGCCGACACUGACGCUGAGGCGCGAAAGCCAGGGGAGCGAACGGG